rnacentral:rRNA from 1 species
AGAGUUUGAUCAUGGCUCAAGACGAACGCUGGCGGCGUGCUUAACACAUGCAAGUCGAACGGAAAGGCCCAGCUUGCUGGGUACUCGAGUGGCGAACGGGUGAGUAACACGUGGGUGAUCUGCCCUGCACUCUGGGAUAAGCCUGGGAAACUGGGUCUAAUACCGGAUAUGACCGACUGUCGCAUGGUGGUUGGUGGAAAGCUUUUGCGGUGUGGGAUGGGCCCGCGGCCUAUCAGCUUGUUGGUGGGGUAAUGGCCUACCAAGGCGACGACGGGUAGCCGACCUGAGAGGGUGAUCGGCCACACUGGGACUGAGACACGGCCCACACUCCUACGGGAGGCAGCAGUGGGGAAUAUUGCACAAUGGGCGCAAGCCUGAUGCAGCGACGCCGCGUGAGGGAUGACAGCCUUCGGGUUGUAAACCUCUUUCACCAGGGACGAAGCGUGAGUGACGGUACCUGAAGAAGAAGCACCGGCCAACUACGUGCCAGCAGCCGCGGUAAUACGUAGGGUGCGAGCGUUGUCCGGAAUUACUGGGCGUAAAGAGCUCGUAGGCGGUUUGUCGCGUCGUCUGUGAAAUUCUGCAACUCAAUUGCAGGCGUGCAGGCGAUACGGGCAGACUUGAGUACUACAGGGAGAGACUGGAAUCCCUGGUUGUAGCGGUGAAAUGCACAGAUAUCAGGAGGAACACCGGGUGGCGAAGGCGGGUCUCUGGGUAGUAACUGACGCUGAGGAGCGAAAGCGUGGGUAGCGACAUGAUUAGAUACCCUGUAGUCACGCAGUAACGGUGGUACCAUAGGGGUGUGGCUUCCUUUUCACAGCAUCGUGACAGUAGCUAACGCAUACCUACCCGCUUGAGGAGUACGCCGCAGGCUAACUCGAAUGAAUGACCGGCAGCUCAGUCAGGCGCGACUGUGAAUACGUCGAUGCAUGCGACGCAUCCGUUAUCG